AGAUUUGGAGGUCACUCAGAUUUCAGAGGUUGUUAUACUGUAAAAUGCAGUGCAUUUCUUAUUGUUCAGAAAUUCUAGUGAUUCACUUUAACAUAGUCUACUGUGGAGAUUAUAACAUGUAUUUACUAUUGUUAUUCAAGAUCUUACAUUUCUGGUGCAUCAAUUGUUUAUUAGAUGGAAAGGUGAAGAUAACGGACAAUUCACGGCGGUUGUGACCUGUCAACAGAAAAUUAUUACUCCUCUUAGGCACCUGAUCCCAUUCCUCUUAUGUCCAGGGGUCCGUGUUUGCUCAACUACUUUUUUGUGUUUCUUAAAAGGGUUAUGAUAUUGAUCACUGUUCUUUGUUUUCGCCUUCUAAAUUCUGUAUCAUAAGAAUAUAAAAACAGGUCAGCUAUUAAAGGAGCACAAUUCGUGCCCAAUGGAAUUCCGACAGAAAUAAAAGGAAAUCUAAAAAUAUAGCUGUAACUGCAAGCAUACGAUAUAAAAGAAUGCUCAAAAGUAUUGCGGGAAAAUCCAGUGAGGGAUACAUAUUAUGAGGGUAUGAUUUGUGACGCUUCACGCCAGUGUACUUCACGUUAGCUCUAUAUGAAAAGUAUGCUGGUGUGAAGCAUUAGAGCCCAUACUCUUCUGUAUUGUCAAACAUGUUUAUGUCUUCUAUUAACAUUCUACUUUCAUUUUUGUCGGAAUUCACAAGCGUUGGAAUAGACACAUUAUUUCUAUCAGGAUGCAUACGCACAAGUUUGUAGCUACAGCGCAAUCAUGAUCAAGGAUAUGGCCAUUACAAUUGUAAAGAUAUCAAUUAAAGUACUCAGAAAGAAAUCUAAUUCAAAAUAAUGAUCUCCAUAAGUUUACCAUAAUAGAGGCACAAAUCGGAAAACACCGCAUCGUCAUACUUUUUUUUUUUUUACUGUCAAUAGGCCUAUUUAGAAUUGUCUGUUCGUUUCACUGGAUUCGAUCAUAUGAUUGACCCACUUCAUGAAUUUAUCUAUUUCUUAACUAUUUCCUGGUUUGUAAAAUUGAAGUUGAUUUAUUUAUUUUCCGCCACAUUUUCCAAUGUUUAAAACUUCCUUCUCCUCUUUAGAAUAAAGUACAUUCAUAGAUUUGCAGUUCAAUGUAGGAUUCUAGCACUGUAUUCCACGCAACAAUCUGGUUGGGUUUUCUUCGCAUAUAAACACAUAACUUUACCCAACGUGCUUCCACUGUCAGGCUAGCUGUCUGUCUUAGAGAAUAAUACUUUAACUAUCAGCCACCUGAAUCCCAUUCUUCGUUUUUCGGUUUUGAGGAAAACUGAAAAGAACAUUUUUGAAUUAAGCAUGAUGCUUAUCACAAAGAAUGAAUUGAUGACCCUUGAUUAUUUUAUUGAUGAGUCAAGAUAACAGGCAUCUCAUAAACCCUGUAGAUAAUACAGAAAUCAGAGUAUGGUAAAACGGAUCCUUAUACAUCCAGAUAGGAGGAGUAACAUCCUCCGAUGAUCGGUGACACUCACCCUAAGUAUUGAUCAGGCAAACGAAGCAAUCCGUAGUCAAAAUUAGUAUGUAAAGAACGGCUUAACAAUUGGUAUAAAACAUGUCAGACAGCAUUUGACCCAAUAUCCGAUUGUAUGAAUAGUGACUAUUCUGAUUAAGUCAUAUAAAGAAUACAAAAUCGAUAAUAAGACAAACUCAGGCCCCUGGGAAACAAGUAUCUAGAAGGGGUAAACAUCCCGUAUUUUGAUUUUAUCUAAAUUGCCAAUACCUUUGAAAAGCACAUGGGGUUGUAUACAGAUUUAAUUUGCGGUAGAUAAUGAACGUUGCUAAUAGGGAAAUGUGCUUGUAAUUUGCAUCCGAUGUUGGGUUUUUUUCUCUCGUAAAAACGUCCGUAUUUGCCAAUUGCUGUAUUUUUUCACCAGGGAAAAUGAGAGUGUUGAACAUUGUCGUUUUGUUUCUUAGACAUUUCCAAUAUCUUGUUUUCUGUGAUAGAGAGUACAAAAGGUGGAUGGUGUUUAUCUUACAUUAAUCUUUUCUAGAUAUUGAUAAUUUAAAACAAAAACGUAUUUAAAAUGUUCAGAAUUUGAUUCUAUUGAAUCCGUUUGAUUUAGCACAUCCUGUUAUAAGCAUUACAGGCUUGAUAGUGUGUGUUAGAAACGGAUAGCCAAAUUGUAGGUUGCCCAUUGAUUUCUUCCUGUUAUUCAGAAAAUAAGAAUUCUAUGAAUCAUAUUUUUGUAGGCCGGAUGGUAUCCCUUGUUGCUACAAUGAAUACUUGGACGAAAUCAGCAAGCAAUGCAAAGGUCUUACACGGCUAUUACUUCAUGGUUAUUCAUAAAUUCAUAUUGAUCCAUAUAAAUAUAUUGACCAAUUUUUUUUUUUCUCAUUCGUUUUUAACACAACAUAGAGAACAUAUCAAACAAGCAUUCAAAAACAAUAUUCACGUAUGUACAAGUAAUUCAUAUCAAUAGAUAUCACAAUAUUGAUAAUGAAUAAAUACAAUAAUAGACUAUAUACAUUUAACCAGGAGGAUUUAAUCUCUCAGCAAUUAAUUGUAUAUAUUUACACAAUCUUAAAUUUUUUUUUUCAUUUUUGGUUACAAAUAGAUUAUGAAAUUUUAUCACAUUAGGUCUAGUAUGAAAUAUCUCUGGUACAUAAUGUCGCCUAAUAUUAUUUAAAACAAGACACAUAAGAAUAUAAAUGCAUCUUAUAUCCAAUAUCAGAACUGCAAAUAUUACUUUUUUUUUAUCUAUAUCUAGCCACCUUCCCGUUUCUAUGGGUAAUUUAUGAUUUGUGGUUCUAAACCUGGUUAAUAUACGUUGUUUAUGUAUUGAAAUAUUUGACAAUAUAUAUUCUUGACAUUUAAAAGUAAGAUUUGUAAAAUUCUGUAUAUUAUACCUUCAGAAGAUUCGUUAUAUUGAGAUACCUUUCGAUCUUUGUUUAAGAUGACAGAUAAUCCAGUUAGUAUUCAUUUUGACAGCAUUAUACAAAGCAUUAGACAUUCCACAGUCAUCUGAUAUUUUCUUUAAAUUCAAAAUCCAUUUUGGUUCACACCCCUUGUGAAAUUUAUGAACACGAGAUUUAUAUCACAAAUAACAAUAUUUUCAUUUUUCCCAUGCAUCACCCGACAACAAAAACUAACAAUUCCUGAUUUGAUAUGUAAACAUAAUGGUGGUCGACCUAUAUCACGAUAAAUCAUAUAAUUUGGAGUUGAUGACUUGACAUGUAAUAAUAAUUUACAAAAUUUUAAGAGUAUAUUUUCAAUAAUGUCAUUGCUUCCAAAACCCCGUUCACAUCCAUAUAGAAGGAUAAGAACAACAAUUUUAUCAAAUACACUGUAAGUGUACAUGAUCUUCUAUUGAAAGAUUAAGAUCACGACCUCUGAUUAUAAUAUCAUAUAGUGAUUGAUCAUGAUAUCUGCUUUUUUGUUAUGACGUAAGCAUGCGAGCCUGGUUUGAUUGGCUGGAAGUGUGAAGAACCGUGCAAGAAAGGAUAUUAUGGAGUGUUGUGCCGCUUGCCCUGUUUAUGUAGUCCCAAUAACUGCGACCCAGAAGUUGGAUGACCAACAACAACGAAUGAACACACAACACCGAGUAUUCAAUUCAACUGGAGAAUGUCAAAAGGGUUUGCUGACACUGUCAAAUAUUCGGCCCCAACCCUCUCCAUUGAAAUAAAUGGAGAACUUACAGCGGAACAGGAACUUACAACGGGAUAUGCAGGAACAAGAACUCAAAAGUUGCAUCAAGGUUCUCGGAAGUACUCAACCAUUCACAAAGAGAUGUUAACAAACAACGAACAAAAGACCACCAGCACAGUCGUGCAAUGGCAUAGUCAAAGGUCUGAAUCUGAUACAUUUGGAUUUAUCAAAAUUACUAGAAAGCAACGUUAAACAGCAAACCCAACAAGCACGUAUGUCAUUAGACAGAGCGACAGCAGAGACAUUUUGCAGCAUAUUUCAGAAUACAUGGAGUUAAUCAGCAUCUCUUUGUUUCUGAUUGUAGGCAGUGUCGUCACUCUUAUUCUACUACUGUUAUAUACCUGAAGCAGUUCAACACAGGCCAGAUGUAUUGUCGACAACUGCGUGGGACGCUGGAGCGUGGGUACAUGUCAUUGUCCAGCAGGGAACGUCUGCCAAGAAGUGGAAGACAGUCUGACUAUGUGACGCAAAACAGCCUCGACAUUGACGUCCCCAGUACCAUAUAAACAAAGACGGUGACGUAAAGUGAUGACAUAAUUCUAAACAUCGAUUGCUUUAUAAAUAUUGCUUUAACAAGGAUGUUGGAGUCAUGUGAUGCAAAAUAUCGCGAAUGAAGUUUUCUUUAUAAAUAUCGGGUAAGGAAACGUGGUGUCAAAUACAAUUUAUAUCAACCCUUUAUUAGGAAUCACAUGAUAUGCCACGUGUAUAAUAUUGAUACCGUGGCCUGUACAAAAUAUCACAUGACAUCCAUCAAAUAUCAUAUAAUUAAAAUUACAUGACACGUAUAUACAUGUAAUAUUGACAUUGUGGCAUAUACAAAAUAUUACAUGACAUCCAUGUUUGAAGGUUUUACAAAUGUAUAAACAUAAGUCAAAUGAGUAAUUUAAUAUCAAAUAUCAUAUUCCUAUGAUACUGAAACCUUUACAAAGGAUGUUAGAGCCAGAUGAUGACUUAGACUUUUUCAGAUAUCGUAUGAAUACGAAUAAUGAAAUCACGUGAUACCACAUAAAACCGAGAUUGACGCAUCCACAAUCUCCUAUAAAUAUGGAUUCUGGAAUCACGUCAUGUGACAUCGACAUUAUAGCUGAUAUUCAUUAGAAUGCAUGUUUUAAUUCAUUCUUUCAUUUGUUCAGUUUAGUUAAUUGAAGAUAUACAGGCUACUCCGGAUAUAUUGAAAUUCAGGGGACAGACCUGAAUCGUUAUUCGUAUCCAAACUUCAAUAUAACCGUUGUGGGACUAUAUGAAUUGAAUUUAUUGUACUGGGAAUAUACAGAUAGUUCAAUAUAAUAUAGUUCGAUAUAAAUUGGUAGAUAUUUUGUGAUAUAAUAAAAUAAAACUCAUUGAUGUGCU